rnacentral:rRNA from 1 species
AUUGAACGCUAGCGGGAUGCUUUACACAUGCACGUCGAACGAGUGGCGGACGGGUGAGUAAUAUAUCGGAACGUGACCAGUAGCGGGGGAUAACUACUCGAAAGAGUGGCUAAAUCCGCCUACUAUUGGAGCGGCCGGUAGGGGAUUAGCUAGUUGGUGGGGUAAAGGCUCACAAAGGCAACGAUCCGUAGCUGGUUUGAGAGGACGACCAGCCACACUGGGACUGAGACACGGUCCAGACUCCUACGGGAGGCAGCAGUGGGGAAUGUUGGACAAUGGGGGAAACCCUGAUCCAGCCAUCCCGCGUGUAUGAGAAGGCCUUCGGGUUGUAAAGUACUUUUGGCAGAGAAGCGGUAUCUGCAGAAUAAGCACCGGCUAACUACGUGCCAGCAGCCGCGGUAAUUC